CCGCGCUUGCGCGGCACCUCUGCGCCUGCGCGAGCUGCACGGCGCCGGCUGGGUUGUACGGGACGGCGGCCGCGGAGGGAGCCGGCUGUGCGGGCCAGGGAGACAGGGUUCGUUCCACGGCUGAGGGGCUGCGAACGUGCGGGAGUAGGUCCAAUGAUAGAGAGUGAAAGCCUGACUUUUCUUCUCCAAGUCUAAAUGCAAAAGACAACUCAGCAAGUCCCGCAUAUAAUUCGAAACUGUAAGCUUAAACAUUUGAAACGCACCAGGCUGGAGAUUCAACUGGACAAGCGCUCAGAGAGAUUGUCUGUGAACAGCAGCAGUUGAUAUACCGACCCCAUUUUCUGAUUAUGUCCGUUAUUGUUUGUGAACGUGUCCAUUAUCCAUUAUCCCAAGCAGGCUGGAUUGUGCAUCAGCUGAAUAUGGCCAUUGUCCUGCAAAAACUCCUCUGCAAAAGAUCCUCAACUUGUUUGUGUGUCUGGACUGAAAACUCUACAACCAUCAUUGGCUGUCUUCAAAAUAAACAUGAUCUAUCGUUUUUGUCUGAAAAGGAAUGCCAUUUGUGGUCCUCAAUUAUGUUUCUCGCAUGAAGAGGAAAUUCAUUGAUAUGAAAGGAACAAUAAAGAUACUGAAGACAUUUAUGCCCAGUAUUUUAAGUUCUGGUGUUUUGUUUGGAUGUGAUGAAAAUACAAAGGGCUUUUUGGAGAAGUAAUGAUGGGAACAAUGUCUCUGGCAAAUAACACAAAGAUUUAUGGAUUUUAUUUCUAUGUUGGUGAUCUAUUUAAAUACUACCUUUAUGCUGAAAUUUGUACAAGUCCUAAGUGGACAUAAUAAAUCAAUCAAAAUUAUACUGCAGAAAAAUAAACAACCCACAAUUAUAUCAAAUGAAGGGUAUUUUAUAUGUACAUAACAAAUAUCUGAAUGUCAUUCUCCAGUACACAGUCAAUAAAACUCCAGCAAGAGUCAUCUCUAGAUGCAUGCAGCUCUUGUUUUUAUCUUCUCUGCUUAAAUGGGUUCCUGCAUGACAGCCAAAGCAACUGGUUAACCACACCCAUGGAAGACUUUCUAUUUGCGUUUAAGAAUGCUUUUAUACGAGCUUGUUGUGUUUGCUUCAAUAGAUGCUGUUAAUAUUUUGCUCUGCUAAUACUUUACCUUCUUUUCAACUGGAAAAAAGUCUUUAGUGACAACAGUUAGCAGUCUAAAAAGAAUCAAAAAUUAUGCAUUAGGUUUGAUAGAAUUUUCAUUCAACAGACAGUAAUAAAGGUAAUUAUUUGAUUUCUUCAA